AAGGAAAAAAAAAUCAGAGACAAACCCUUCAUCAGUGAGAACUAUGACCAGAGAAGGUUAAUGCCCUUUAACAGGUCAUGUGCAAGCUUCGUGGCAGCAAAAAGGAACAUUUACCUUAAAGGAUUUGAGUUCUUAUAGCCUUUGGAGCCUAAUGUAACAUCUUACUGGCAUACUUGGAGGACUACGGACUCUAUAAAAAGCAAUUCUUGACCAGAGGGAAUUCCCCAGAUAUGGCAAAGCAGGAUACAGCUCAGCUAAGGGGCAAAGUGUACUAACCUGUGAAGAAAGUCAAGACAACCCAAGUCACGCAGAGGGACAGAGCCACAAGAGAGCUCCCUCCACUUUCUCAGUAAGGUGCCUGCUGCUGCAAUGGGUGAAGAAAGACUGGUUGAGCAAGGACUGGAACCACAUUGCAGCUUUCAGUCUUCAGCAAUGAAAACAUGGAAACUUCACCAGAUGAAGCUUGAUGGAUGGAGGAAGAAAGGGAAGCACUGGCAGAAAAAUAGUGUGUCAGAAGCUGGCUCUGACUGCAUCUCUGAGAUCAGUGAGGAGCAGGAGUGCUCCCAUUUUCCAGUUCUUACAACAGACUGCUGGUCUUGUCACCCAUUGUCCAGGUUUACUGGAAUUCUGAGGUGGUCUUCAACACUUUUCUAUAACCUCAUGACUAACUGUACCUGAUUUACUUUAUUACAAGAUCAUAAUCUGGUCCAUAUUUAAAGGUACUUUCUAUUUUUUCCAAGAUGAUUUUGGGUGCAAAACUGAAAAGGAAUUCUGGUAGAGGAGUAUUCUAUCACUUACCAAUGGAAAAAAAAAUGGUCUAGCAUUCAUUGUGUUACACUGAUAAAUGUAAAUAGUGACAAUUCAUGAACAAAAUUCUUUCUAAAGCAUGAGAUCAGAAUACUAAAAAGUAAUUGUAUUCUGAGUUCUUUUAAUUCUUUAGUUUAUUAGUUGUCAAAAAAUUAGAGUUGGUUUUCAAGUUCUUUCCUUCAGCAAGUCAAAAACUUGCUUGAAAAAAACCAAAACAUUAAAAAAGAACAAAAACAAAAACAAAAGAAAGACAAACCGGGGUUCUGGAUGAAUUCUGGACUUGCAGAGAAAUACCAGGUAUGGAAAAAUCACAAGAAAACUACACCACAUGCCAACAUUAUACUCUUACACUCUCGGGUGAUAUAAAGAUAACUGGAAUUAAGCUUUGAGUUUUAUUUCGAUAGAAAUAAACUAAGAAUUUAUUUCAAAAGAAAGAAACUAAGAAUUAACUCAUAAGUUAAUAAUUUAUUAAUGAUUUCUGCCUAUGUUACUCCAAAAUUUCAUACCUUCUUAAAUAUUUUUAUGUUUUUAUAGUUCUUGUUUACAGUGGUAGUACAGUUAUUGCUACAGUACUUGAAAGGCAUAAAGGGAAAAUUUUACAUCAGUCAUUGAACAGCAUUGGAUUGUCUGUGUUUUUCUACAAAGCCAGAGAAAGUACUUACAAAGUACAGUUUAGUGAUGUUCAGUGUGUUUAGGUGAUUAUUAGAGAUCUCAUAGGGAUUGACAGCAUAAAUACAUUUGAAUGUCUUGAAAAGAAAAACUUUUCUUUUGACUUUAAAAUGUUUUAUACAUCACAAAAUUUAAUAUAUGGCAAAGCAGAAGUAGUUUUAAACAGGUUUCAGCUGUUCAAUAGUCCUGUUUGUAGGUAUUUAUUUGGUAGAGAAUGGAAAAGAAUGAAAUAUGGUUUAAUUAAAACUGUCAAAAAGGCACCAAAAUUAACUUAGCAGGAGGGAUAAAGUUAACAAAUCUUAGCUUUUUGUCUCUCUGUAUGAUCAGCACUCAUAUACCACAGUUAUUUGACCUGUUAAGAGAUACACAAAACCACACAGCCAGCCCUCCUUUAUUGUAGCUUAUUGUCUUGGACACCGCAGGAAGAAAGACAUAAUAGAGGCAAUGUGGUUUAAUUAGGCCAGAACUUGAUUAACUUUGCACAUUGGGGAUGUCUUUCAGAAUUCACUCAUCUAGAGCAAAGAUUACUCAUUGUACCAUCUGGAGGAGGGUUGCCCACUGCCCUGCUGCCCUCCCAGCACUUAACCUGGCCUGGCCUCCCCACAGGGAGCUGCUCCUUCAACCCACACGGGAGAUGAGGGGAGGGAGGGCAGACUCUGGACCUGUGCUCUGGCAGCCAGGGAAAGCCUGACACCCUAACACCUGCUGCAUUGCAAGACACCCACUUAUAUUGUUUUAAAAGCCUUGCUUGACAGGAAAUCCAGCUCUUGAUGGACAGCUACCUUGAGAGGAUAAAUAUCCAGCUGCAGAAACAUGACCGUGACCUGAUCUAUAUUACUUACCAUCAGCCUGUGAGAAUGAGAUUGGAAGUAAACACAGCAAGUAAUCCUGUUUAAGAACACUAUAAACCAUCUUCAUAGAUUAGACUAGUGACAUCAUUUUCAAAAACACUGAAAGUAAUAUCAUCAACUUGUUAAAGACAAAAAUGUAUGUGGUGGGGUUUUUUUUCCUUUUUGCUAGUAGAAGAUAUAACAUCUUCUCUUCUAAAACCAGGUCAGAUAUGAGGGUGUUUCCCAAUGAGUGGAACAGGGGCAGUGAUGAGGGAAUGUUUGCAUCUCAUCCAAACAUUCCAUUUCCAUUUUCCUUCUGAUGUUGCCUCUUCCUCUCCCCAUUAUAAAUAUUUCAUUUUUAUCCCAUUUUAAAUGAUGUUUGAAGUGUUGUGUUUUGCAAUGCUAAACUGUAAUGUUUGCUCUUGCAGGAAUGCUGCCUUUUCCUUCAAUGAAAUUCUGAGGAAGUCAACCUGUAGUUGUGAUAUAUUUCCUGUAAUUGGAAGACAUUUUGCAUCAAAAUACCUCAGGAUAGUAAUGCUCUGUAUGUUCAAAUCAUCCUUUCCUUUAACUGUUCCAAUUUGACUAUAAAAGACUCGCAUUCGGCAUUUCUCUCACAGAGUCCCACACUAGCGUGGUAACAACUGCAAAUGUAAUAAUGAUCGUCCUCCUGUGGUCACGGUGCUCUGCCAAAGCUAUGGUUUUGGAAUGACCAUAUGCAUUCCAAAUCAGCGAGUUUGCAAAAGACAUCCUAAUAACUGGUAUGGGGUUUCAGAACGUGCUUAGCUGCCUUGGCGUGUUUGCAAAAAGAACAUGAGAGCAGCAAAAUAAAAUCCUGCUAACGUGCUCUGAUGUGCUUCAUUCAGAAAGUUCACUACUCUUCUCUGUCCUCCUGUGCCCACACAGACAUUCAUCUCAUGCAUUACUCACACUCCUCCCCUCAUGACAUUUCCUCUGCCUUCCCUGUGAAGACAUUUAUCCACGCUCAGUGCUGUUUACUACAUUAGAAAUGUCCCACGCAUUUACUAUUAGACUGAAUGCUCUUUGCAGGUAAGAUCAACCCAUGAUCCACCUACAAUUCAGCAAGCAUGAGUGCCUCCUACCAUCCCGAGGACAGAAAGAUUAUACUUUGUGUGCUGAGCACCAUCUGAACAUAUCCACACCAACAUUCAUCCAUAAGCCCUGACAAGUGAGGGGUUUUUUUCGAAGAGGCUUUCAUUCCCUUGCAUUCUAUUUCAUGCUUUCAUGCUAUGUGUAGAUUUUCCUUUACAGUAAUUUUGGUGGAAUUUUAAAAGAAGAUCCAGAAUCUUCUACAGAAAGUCCUCUGUGAAAUUACUCGAUCCAGAAAGGGUUGUCUGUUCCGCUUAUUUUAUUUCAAGCAAGAAAGAUGUCCCUAGAAUACUAUAUAUAAUUUAGUCUGAGCAAAAUAUAGCAUGUACUAUGAUGUGAGCAUUGAUUUUUUUUUUUCUUUGCCCAUCUAUUAUCUCAAUGAACAUAUUUGGAGAAGGUACAACAGUAAAUCAGUUGUAGAAAUUAUCCUUGAAUUAAGAUGAGAGAAGAGAAUUCACAGCACUGUCACCUGGGCACAUAUAAGAAAUGGAGUUAUUAUGCUCACCUUCUCUACUAAAACAAUGCAUUAGAAAGGUUUGGCUUCUUGUAAGUAAUUUCAUAAAUACAUUAUUAUCUAGCAACAGGCAAAAAACCCCCCUGUGACUAUUGGCAUUAUCUACGCUUCAUCUGGAUUCUGGAGAGCAACAUGAAUGGAGAAUGGAUAAGCUGACAGACAUAAUACAUCAAAGGAAUUAAAAGCAGCACCUGGUAGUAAAUGUGUAUUUUACAGCUACUUCCUGAGCUGCUCCAGACAGUGUUACUGCUUGAAUUCACAGCGUAAGGAAAAGUCUAGAUUUUGCAACCUACCCAGUGAUGGGAAUGUGAUUGCUUUUAUAGUCCAUAUCUGCCACCUAUUACCUGUCAGCUACAUCACUCUGGUUUUGUGCACUCCAUUCAGAACACCUACCAAGAUAACCUACAAAUAACUUCACUUUUUGAGGAGGAAUAAAAAGAAUUCCACUUAGCCGUAGCAGGGCUUGUCACUAAAGCCAUUAAGACAUUGGGUUUUUACACUGUAUCUCUGCUGGAUACAAUUUGAAACACCACGUUUUCCAGCUUUGUACCUUAUCUCAUAUAUAUGUUCACAGGCACACAGUUAAACUCAGGCUUAAUGUAAUUUGACUAGAAAAUCCAUUUAAAUUGUUCACAGAAUAAAAGAUUAUUUCAGAACAAGGUGUCUAGACGGCAUUUCUAUUUAAUUUCUGGUGAGAUCAUUCUAAGUCCACUUCCAGCACUCAUCCAGGGGAUUUCCACCACAAGCUUUUGCUGCAUUAAAGGCAAUGUCUACACUGGGGUUUUAUUCUGAUUCUUGAUGACAGACCAGUGUUGCUUUACUAAUCUGAGCCCUGCCACGUGCUGCUGUUUACAGUGCUAGAGAUUAUUCUAGACUGAAGGUGGGUCGGUGACACAGGAGCAAGGAGCAGCUCUGCGUGCCUGCGCUGUGCUGUGACCACAACCCCAUCA